rnacentral:tRNA from 1 species
CAUUAGAUGACUGAAAGCAAGUACUGGUCUCAAAA